GACGAACGCUGGCGGCGUGCCUAAUACAUGCAAGUAGAACGCACAGUUUAUACCGUAGCUUGCUACACCAUACACUGUGAGUUGCGAACGGGUGAGUAACGCGUAGGUAACCUGCCUGGUAGCGGGGGAUAACUAUUGGAAACGAUAGCUAAUACCGCAUAAUAUUGAUUAUUGCAUGAUAAUUGAUUGAAAGAUGCUAUUGCAUCACUACCAGAUGGACCUGCGUUGUAUUAGCUAGUAGGUGAGGUAACGGCUCACCUAGGCGACGAUACAUAGCCGACCUGAGAGGGUGAGCGGCCACACUGGGACUGAGACACGGCCCAGACUCCUACGGGAGGCAGCAGUAGGGAAUCUUCGGCAAUGGACGAAAGUCUGACCGAGCAACGCCGCGUGAGUGAAGAAGGUUUUCGGAUCGUAAAGCUCUGUUGUAAGAGAAGAACGGGUGUGAGAGUGGAAAGUUCACACUGUGACGGUAUCUUACCAGAAAGGGACGGCUAACUACGUG
rnacentral:rRNA from 1 species